GAGGUGUUCAAGGCCCCAUCCUCAAGGUUGGAUGGGGCCCUGGGCAGCCCGAUCUGGUGGGAGGCAACCCUGUCCACAGUAGGAGAUUGUCCAGUGCACUUCAUAUACUCCUUAUACUCUUUGUAUACUAACAUACUUCAUAUACACCCCAGGAAGCCACUGCAGGGACCUCUGAUAGAUCCUGUGUUAGGUGUGGCAGCUCUGUGGCAUGGGGGAAUGAAGCCAAACCUGGAAAAAGGGGGUGUGGUGAGAAGAAAGCGUUUCAUUAAUUUUUGUUUCUUACUAUUCAAGCCUAUUUUAUCUGGAAAAAAAAAUAUUUUUCCCAACUCGAGCCUGUUUUGCCCAUGACAAUAACUUGUAACCAUUCUUCCUGUCAGAAUCCCAACCCACGAGCAUUUUCAUACAACUAACCCCUGACCUGCUGAGGAGGGACAGUGACUGAGUGACUGGUGGGCAUCUCGCAUCUGGCUGAGGCCACCUCACUGCAGCUCAUCAUGCACUGCAGUAAUGCUGUUUGGAGACAGUCAUGUAUCAUCUUCUAAUGUAUCACACUCAGAUUGGGAAAGAAGUUACGAGGUACAAAGAAAGAUCAAAACACCCCUUUCAGACAGAUUAUUUGUUGAAGUGCACAGUAGGAGUAACGGAGUCAAAGGCAUGAAGGAACUGUGGUAUUCUGAGAAUCAAUAAGCAGACUGCACUGCGGUAUAUACUAUGUACAAAAAAACCCGCCACAGUGGAAACGUUUACAAGUGACAUGCAGAAGCUAAAGCUGCCUGGAGGAAUGUCAGAAAAAGACUCCAAACAUGGGGUCCUCUUUGAAGCAGUGUGUUUGGUCUGAUCUGACACUUCCAGGGUAUUCUCAUGGAACUACUUGCCAGGUAUUUUUUCUCUCUUCUUCAUAUAGGUUGUUAAACAAAAUAGUGCUAAGAUGCUACCUAGGACAGCUUGGCUGUCAUCUAGAUAGCUAGUGAUGUUUAUGAGAACUUUGACCUAAGGUCUGCAGCAUUUAUAUCUGAGUUAUAAGUGAGUUAUAGUGAGUUAUAGUUAUUAGUGAGAACUACUGGUGACAGGUAGACGGUUGGACUGGAUGAUCUUGUAGGUCUUUUCCAACCUUGGUGAUUCUAUGAUUCUAUGAUUCUAAGAUAAGCAGAAGUAUUAUUACCAUUUAUAUAAGUGAUUCUACACAUCAAUUCUAGCAUGUAGAUGAUUGGGGGAGAGGAUAUUAUUUUACACCGCUACCUCUUCUGUAAUUAUGAGGAGGCCAAACACAAUUGACUGGGGGCCAGUUGUCUGAGAUACUGUAUAAACAGGAUGAAAACAUCGUUAACAGCUGAAAUAUUUUACAACACAAAGCUAAGAGGUAACAGUGCAAUAAAACUCUCAGAAAAAUAGGAAGCAAAGGUUAGGAUGGUUGCAUUAAGAAGCUGGUGUUCAGGAUCCCUAAGCACUGUGGAGACUUUAGGAAAAACCUCAGUAGAAAUGGUUAAGCCAAAAUGUGAAGAUGGACGAUAUAAUAGGUGGUGGAAUUUGUGCUGGGAUUGUCUAAUACUUCAAGAUUGUAUGAGGGAACUUGGGAAGAUGGUGGUCAUAUUUCUCAGCUUACGUACGUGUACUUAUGCAAAGCGUCCAACAUCUAAAGUGUUUCCAUGUGCUGUACUGUGGGAGCAAAUAGCUCAGUGAAAGCACUGACCAAUGUUUAUCCAUCUUUGUGACCAUGAUUUUCAAUCUGUGUUAACUUUGAACUGUUUGAACUAACUUGAUAGCAAUAUGGUAUCAGCAGUCUGCUUUGUAGCCAUAGUAAGUGCAACUAAGAGAAGGAAGCGAUUUCUUCCUUGAAUAUUCUGGGCUCUUAAAAAACUAAUAUCUUCCUUACUAUCAUACAGUAUUCUACUUACUACUAAAUAAAAAUUGGAUCUUUUCACAUAAGGACUGGAUAACUAUCUAAUGAUUUGUAAAAUUAUUUUAAGGGGAACUCAAAUUGAUCAGGUUUUAUUUGCAAACCUAAGGCACAUUUAAGUGUAUUGUGCUGUUAUUAGUGCUUUCUCAGCAUUUAGCUUACAGGAAUGCUGCUCAGAUUAUUACCUACCCUCUCAUUUUCAGGAGAUAUAGCCUUGACUUGGAAUUCCUAUUUCUGGCUUCAAAAGUAGGAAUGGAAGCAAGAAUGUGGUUAGAAAUGAAAAGCUACACCAUUUCUUCACCACAUUCUGAUUCUUUCCUAACUCUUCUAUCACUCUUUCCAUCCAUAUUCAUAGAAUCAUAGAAUCAUUUAGGUUGGAAAAGACCUCAAGAUCAUCUAGUCCAAUUAGCAACCCAUCACAAUCAUUCCCACUAAACCAUGUCCCUCAGGGCCACAUCUACAUGUUUCAGAAGGAAGCUUGUGGCAAAAUUUUUUUCAGUAAUCCCAACUGAUGACAAAACCAUUGUUCUCAUAGAUGCCAGCUGUUCAUUAAGUAAUGUCAGUUCACACAGCAUGUUUCCCCAAUUAUUACAUGAAUGCAACAGUAUUGGGAGCUUUAAAGUAACAAUAGACAGUCUUUAAUGUAUUUUGCAAUAAUUUUUCUUUUCAUCUUCAUCUUGUAGUCAUAACUGUCAUGAGAAAGAAAUACGCUACUAGUCAUAAAUAGUAUGAAUCCUCGUUCCAUUUGCAUGAAUUCACACAAAUGAAUGUUUCCUGGGAAUGUGCAACGGGUUUGUAAACUAAGGCAAUUUUCCCCGUGGUCUUGUGUUCCAGAUCUCACAAAUUUUUCCUUAAAAGAAGGCAAGCAGUUGAUAAUUCACCUCUCUGUAGUAACCGUAGCACACAUAUUAUUUUGAUUCUCUUCUCUACAGCUCCUCUUAGUCUAAACAGACAUUUUGUAGAUAUUUGUGCAAUGGCUUAACCUCACUUUUUCUAAUUUAAUUG